GCGGUGGAGUGACGUGGUUAAUUCGAUGCAACGCGAAAACCUUAACCCACCUUUGACAUGUACGGAAGUCCUUUAGAGAUAGAGGAGUGCUCGAAAGAGAGCCGUAACACAGGUGCUGCAUGGCUGUCGUCAGCUCGUGUCGUGAGAUGUUGGGUUAAGUCCCGCAACGAGCGCAACCCUUGUCAUUAGUUGCUACAUUCAGUUGGGCACUCUAAUGAGACUGCCGGUGACAAACCGGAGGAAGGUGGGGAUGACGUCAAGUCCUCAUGGCCCUUAUAGGUGGGGCUACACACGUCAUACAAUGGAUGGUACAAAGGGUUGUCAAUUUGCGAGGGGGAGUUAAUUUUAUAAAGUUAUUCGUAGUCCGGAUCGCAGUCUGCAACUCGACUGCGUGAAGUCGGAAUCGCUAGUAAUCGUGGAUCAGAAUGUCACGGUGAAUACGUUCCCGGGUCUU
rnacentral:rRNA from 1 species